rnacentral:rRNA from 1 species
CCAGACUCCUACGGGAGGCAGCAGUGGGGAAUAUUGCACAAUGGGGGAAACCCUGAUGCAGCGACGCCGCGUGAGUGAAGAAGUAAUUCGUUAUGUAAAGCUCUAUCAGCAGGGAAGAAAAUGACGGUACCUGAGUAAGAAGCCCCGGCUAACUACGUGCCAGCAGCCGCGGUAAUACGUAGGGGGCAAGCGUUAUCCGGAUUUACUGGGUGUAAAGGGAGCGUAGACGGUUAUGUAAGUCUGGAGUGAAAGCCCGGGGCCCAACCCCGGGACUGCUCUGGAAACUGUCCGGCUGGAGUGCAGGAGAGGUAAGUGGAAUUCCUAGUGUAGCGGUGAAAUGCGUAGAUAUUAGGAGGAACACCAGUGGCGAAGGCGGCUUACUGGACUGUAACUGACGUUGAGGCUCGAAAGCGUGGGGAGCAAACAGGAUUAGAUACCCGAGUA